rnacentral:rRNA from 1 species
AGCAUGCAAGUCGAGCGACGAGUACACCUUCGGGUGUACAACGGAGCGGCAGACGGGUGAGUAACGCGUAGGAAUCUACCCUUUAGUGGGGGAUAGCCCAUGGAAACGAGGUGUAAUCCCGCAUAGUUCCGGCAACGGUAAAGCCUUCGGGCGCUAGAGGAGGAGCCUGCGUGCUAUCAGCUAGUUGGUAGAGUAAAAGCCUACCAAGGCGAUGACGGCUAGGGGGUGUGAGAGCACGACCCCCCACAAGGUUACUGAGACACGGAGCCUACACCUACGGGUGGCAGCAACUAAGAAUCUUCCGCAAUGGGCGAAAGCCUGACGGAGCGACACCGCGUGUGGGAAGAAGUAUUUUACGUAUGUAAACCACUGUGGCAGGGGAAGAAUUUUGACGGUACCCUGCUAGAAAGCACCUGCUAACCACGUGCCAGAAGCCUCGGUAAUACGUGGGGUGCAAGCGUUAUCCGGAUUUACUGGGCGUAAAGCGUUCGUAGGCGGAUAUGUAAGUGAUUGGUCAAAGCCCAAGGCUCAACUUUGGACAGGCUGGUCAUACUGCAUAUCUAGAAUUAGUUCGGGGAGGUUGGAAUUCUCGGUGGAGGGGUGAAAUCCGUUGAUAUCGAGAGGAACGCCAAGGGUGAAGACAGGCCUCUAGGACUUAAUUGACGCUGAGGGACGAAAGCUAGGGUAGCAAAGCGGAUUAGAGACCCGUGUAGUCCUAGCCGUAAACGAUGGAUACUAGAUGGCUGUACUUUUAGUGUGGCUGUCGCAAGUUAACGCGUUAAGUAUCCCGCCUGGGGAGUACGACCGCAAGGUUAAAACUCAAAGGAAUUGACGGGGGAGCGCACAAUCGGUGGAUCAUGUGGUUUAAUUCGAUACAAACCGAAGAACCUUACCCAGACUUGACCUAUUAUCUGCACGCUCUGUGAAAGCAGA